GUGGCCGGCGCGGCCGACCUUCCACCCUCCGCCCCCGCCAUCUCCUCCUCCUCCUCGCCCCGGUAGCGGAAGCUCUUCUGUCGGCUUCGCGCUGCCGCCAUCUCGGCAGCAGGAGGAGGUGGAGGAGGAGGAGGGGUUGGCGCGGGCAGCGUCUGCCUGGUCAGGCGGGGCGGGAAGCGGAAGGAGGGACACCCGGCGCGGCCUGUAAGUUACCCCCGCGAGGCCCGAGGCCCCGCCGUUGCCCCGGCGAUGAGGCCGGGGCCCUCCGUGAGAGGGUGGGAGGAGGGCUCUCUAGGUCCAAGGGUGACGCGGGAGCAGGAACGUUUUUUCCCCCUUCCUCUCCCCCCCCCCCAUUUCCAAAAUAACGAAAUUUCAGUCUUGGGGGGUCCCCGCCAUGGCGAGCUGGGAGAGGCGGCCCUUCCUGAGGAAUCAAAUCUUAAAAGCGGGGCUUUUCAGGCUGGUCUCGAUAAGCUAGGGCUGCACGGGGGAGGUCCUUGAGAAAUAGUAAUAAUUAAUAAUAAAAAUAAUGACGCAUAAAGGGCUUUUUUUUUUUUUUUUGCUCUGACAAACCGGGUAGUGGUUUGGUGGGGGAGGGGGGAGGAGUUGUAAUGUAAUGUAAGGAUUUUCAGCCUUGGGGUCCUAUCCAUACCAAGAGGUUGAGGUAAAUCCUUGCAAGAUUGGUACAAAGGGUGGUUUUGCUUUAUGGGGAGCUGGGGCGUGGCUUAGGGGGGGCCUUGUGAAAUCGUUAUUAUCAUAUAAUAAAUUCCGUAGUAAGUUGGGGAGCUGCUUGGAGAGGUAAUCGCAAAGUUAUUAUUGAGGGGGGAUUUUUCAGCCUUGUGGGAGGUCUCGUCAUGCCAAGUUGGGGACAGCGUGGGGGGGGGCAGGUGGAGGAUACUUGUCAAACUAUUGUUGUUAUUAAGAGGGACCCUUACCCACAUCACUGUUCUGCUACAAAACCAACUUGUGAUGAGGGGUUCUUUAUUUGAUACUGUACAUUGACACUUAUUUCUUUUUCUUUCAAAUGCUAGCCUCUCUUAUUCCUCCUCCUUCUCCCCCACUUUGCCAUAAGGUCACCUUUCUUCCUUAAUCUACAGCCUCUGAUUUUACUUGUCAAAUCUACUCUGUGUAUUUAGAGUACAUGAUUUCCCAACCCUCCCAAAAAAAUUAAAUAAGGGUGCUGGGAAUUGUAAGGGUAAAUAUUCAGAGUCAUGUGCUUUAAAUGUAUGGCAUGGGAUAUGACUACAGUGGUACCUUGGGUUAAGGACUUAAUUCGUUCCAGAGGUCCAUUCUUAACCUGAAACUGUUCUUAACCUGAAGCACCACUUUAGCUAAUGGGGCCUCCCGCUGCCGCUGCCACGCGAUUUCUGUUCUCAUCCUGAAGCAAAGUUCUUAACCCGAGGUACUAUUUCUGGGUUAGCAGAGUCUGUAACCUGAAGCGUCUGUAACCUGAAGCAUAUGUAACCUGAGGUACCACUGUACUUACUGCCACUCAAAUGAUGAUAAUUAUUUGGGGGUGGUUUAUUCCUCUGUCCCUAUAAUAGCAACUGGGGUAUGUGUAUCUACUCUUAGUCAUUGGGCUAAGGGUGAUUAUUUCCAAUUGCACUAUGUACAGUGGGAUUAAGACAAUCUGUUUCCGUCUUGUAUGUGGGAUAGAGGAGCGGGGACACCGUUGCAUGUUAAGUGUGGACAAUUUAAACAAGGGGUACUGAAGCCUCUCAUUUUGGGUAGCUGGAUUUUUAAGGUGGUGUUAUUUUUCAAGUAGGUGGAGACUUUCUUGGUUUGAUGAAGAUGAUUAAGGCCAACCUAUCAGCCUGGAACUGAGGCUCAGUUGUAAUCUUUUCCUCCUCCCCUGGAACAGGUUGAUGAGACUACCGGGUGUGGACAGCGAAUGACAUACUGUCAUUGAGCAAUUCAGGACACACCCGGUUGUAUUUUGUGGACCUUCAUUGCUUUUAAAAAGCUAGCCUGGCAUUCUCAGUGGAUUAUUCUUUAUGCAAUUGUACUCAAAAUAACCCACAUGGAGCGAAAACUUGACUAUCUGGACCAAAAUGAAUUAUGGGCAAGAGUAGCAGCCCCCAUUAAUUCUCCUUUUCCAAGAAAAAGACCUCACCCUACUGGGAAUUCUCCUCGCAAUCCCAGAUAUAGUUUCUGCUCCUUCUCUCUCUCAACCCAGCUCAAUAUCAUUCAAAGCGUGGACAAAAUGUUGCCUUCGUAGGGUCCUCUACACCUUGGCCCACAAUCAUUGUUGCCACUGCAGCCUCCUUCAAACACUGUUUAUGUGACUUUGUGUCUGUGGCAAGAUUGUUUGUGCUUAGUCCAGGCUCAUAAAGUGUAAGCAGGGAACUGUGAGCAGAGUUCACUCUGAGAAAAUGAUUGGCAGCAAAGUGAAUCUCUUGUGUUUUGGUGGGGUGAGCAUUUUGCACAACUGGUUUGCCACGGGGGACCCAGGCUAGAAAUGAGCAGAUUUGCUGGUGCCAUAAUGGUUGUAUGGGUUUGUUUUAUGUGGCCAGAAGAGAGAUAGUUAAGGGAAAGUGUAACUGCCAUGCAGUUUGUUUAUCCCCUGAUGGCCCUCAAGCAAACAGCAAUUAUAAUACCUGAACUCAUAGCUUAGCAGUAAAUGCUUUUGGCUGGAAAAAGUACUGCAGUUCUGUAAUGGUCUUACACACUGUUUCUCCUUAACCUGCCUGCUUAAGGGGCAGUACAGCCAGCCAGAGUAGUGGCAUGGUACUUUUUCCACCUGAAACUCCCCAUGUCCAAUAGCAGGGCACCAUCUGACAACCAAGCUGCAAAGGCAUGUGACUGUUAGUUGGCCCAUGUUCAGGAGAUCUCGUUCCCGUACUUGUUUUAUUUUAUAUUCUUUAUUGAAAUAUAAAAAAACUACAUAAUUACAAGUGCACAGGGUAAGAUAAGACAC
rnacentral:lncRNA from 1 species